rnacentral:rRNA from 1 species
GACAGAGGGUGCAAACGUUGUUCGGAAUUACUGGGCGUAAAGCGCGUGUAGGCGGUCCUGCAGGUCGGAUGUGAAAGCCCUUGGCUCAACCAAGGAAGUGCAUUCGAAACCUCAGGACUUGAGUGUCGGAGAGGAAGGUGGAAUUCUCGGUGUAGAGGUGAAAUUCGUAGAUAUCGAGAGGAACACCGGCGGCGAAGGCGGCCUUCUGGACGAACACUGACGCUGAGACGCGAAAGCGUGGGGAGCAAACAGG